AUUGAACGCUGGCGGCAGGCCUAACACAUGCAAGUCGGACGGUGGCACAGAGGAGCUUGCUCCUUGGGUGACGAGUGGCGGACGGGUGAGUAAUGUCUGGGGAUCUGCCCGAUAGAGGGGGAUAACCACUGGAAACGGUGGCUAAUACCGCAUAACGUCGCAAGACCAAAGAGGGGGACCUUCGGGCCUCUCACUAUCGGAUGAACCCAGAUGGGAUUAGCUAGUAGGCGGGGUAAUGGCCCACCUAGGCGACGAUCCCUAGCUGGUCUGAGAGGAUGACCAGCCACACUGGAACUGGGACACGGUCCAGACUCCUACGGGAGGCAGCAGUGGGGAAUAUUGCACAAUGGGCGCAAGCCUGAUGCAGCCAUGCCGCGUGUAUGAAGAAGGCCUUCGGGUUGUAAAGUACUUUCAGCGGGGAGGAAGGCGGUGAGGUUAAUAACCUCGCCGAUUGACGUUACCCGCAGAAGAAGCACCGGCUAACUCCGUGCCAGCAGCCGCCGUAA
rnacentral:rRNA from 1 species